CGGCACGGGUGAGUAACACGUAAGUAAUCUACCCUCGAGUGGGGAAUAACAACCGGAAACGGUUGCUAAUACCGCAUAAUGCAGCGGCACCGCAAGGUGACAGUUGUUAAAGAUUUAUCGCUUGAGGAGGAGCUUGCGGCAGAUUAGCUAGUUGGUAAGGUAAUGGCUUACCAAGGCUACGAUCUGUAACCGGUCUAAGAGGACGGUCGGUCACACUGACACUGAAUAACGGGUCAG
rnacentral:rRNA from 1 species